rnacentral:piRNA from 1 species
UGAUCUUCAAUAACAACAUAAAUAAUGG